UUGGAGCAUUGAGGCAACCACUGAUAGCAUAAAUAUUUUGAGAGCCACCAUAAUUCCUUUCUGCAGGAAAUUUCAUUAAGUGUCAGAGUCAGAAGAUCAAGUCAGAACUCAUUAUUUACAGACUUAGAGAUAAAUUCCAGCUGCAAACCAUGAUAGUGACUCUGGGUUGUGUGUUUGACUUUCUGGUUGACAGGAUGUUAGAUUGAGUGCCUACUCAUCCUUCCUUUCAUUUCUACACCCAAAUUGCUGUGCAGUGAAAAAUGAUUUUCAAUAUAACUCCAAGAUAGAGUAUGAAAGCCAUCAAAAGAAGACACCUAAGCUCACCGUAUUAUAUUUAUAAAGAUUUUCAUCCUUGAAGUUUUUGGCAUUCAGGGCGAGAGGAAUUAACUGAGCUGUAGCAGGACUGGAUGAGGUUUUCCCCACAAGGAACUGGAAGACUGCUUAAAAUCUUUGGUGUGUAAUGUAGACUGUCCAUGUUUUGUAACUAAAGGUUUGUGUCUCAGAAUGGUGAGUGGUGUAUAUAUAGGUUGCUAUUGAUUUAUACAGAAAGAUCAAAU